AGUCAAUUUUGUUUGGUUAGGAAACGUAAUAGAACACAAGAAUAGCUAGUUUAGGGGUAUAUAGGUCAAUUCACUAGGUGAAAGUGACCUCAAAGUCUAAUGUGCUUUAUUCAGUAAUUGGAAAUAUGAAAUGUGUCUCUAAGGAUAAAAUUUUCUAUUUUAAUAUGACUGUGACUAAGUCAAUCGAUGGCAGUGGUUAUGUAUUUUUGACAGGAAUAUU
rnacentral:lncRNA from 1 species